GUGUUUGCGCAUACACUAAAAUUGGAACAAUACAGAAAAGAUCACAUGGCCCCUGAGCACAGAUGACAUGGAAACUUAUGAAGCAGCCUGUAUUUUU
ensembl:snRNA U6 U6 spliceosomal RNA